CUGCUGCUGCUAGUUGAGCAACGGCAGCAGCAGCAACAGCAGCAAUCAGCUGCUGCUGCAAGCUGAGCUGCAGGAGCAGCAAGAAAAGAAAGGAAAGAAAGCAAGAAAAGAAAGAAAAGAAAGAAAGAAAGAAGGAAAGAAAAGAAAGAGAAGAAAGAAAAGAAAGGAAAGAAAGAGAGAUGGAAUGAAAUAAAAGUUGAUUUGCUCGAUAGUUUGAUUUUGACCCCGACAAUGCACUUUUGCAGGAUAAGGGUCCUACCGUGAAAUUGACCGCGUACAAACCUAAUUGAGGGU
rnacentral:lncRNA from 1 species